rnacentral:misc_RNA from 1 species
CUGCGGAAGGAUCAUUAUUGAAUGAACUUGGUCGGGCUGAUGCUGGUCUCUCCUUGGAGGGGCAUGUGCACGCCUGGCACCAUCUUCUUUUACCACCUGUGCACCUUUUGUAGACUGUGGGGACUACCUUUCCGAGGUCAAACUYGGUUGAAAGGAUUGCUGAUGCCAGCUUUCCUUUGCCUGUYUUCUUGUYUAUGCCUUUUUUUUUUUUAUCACAAAUGUAUGACAAUGAAUGUUAUGUUGGGCAUUAUUGCCUUUAAAAACCUAAUACAACUUUCAACAACGGAUCUCUUGGCUCUCGCAUCGAUGAAGAACGCAGCGAAAUGCGAUAAGUAAUGUGAAUUGCAGAAUUCAGUGAAUCAUCGAAUCUUUGAACGCACCUUGCGCUCCUUGGUAUUCCGAGGAGCAUGCCUGUUUGAGUAUCAUGAAAUUCUCAACCUUGCUUUUGCAUCUGUGAAAUCAAGGUUGGAUUGUGGGGGACUUUUUUGCAGGCUUCAAAUCGAAGUCUGCUCUCCUGAAAUAUAUUAGCAGAGUUGCAUGAACAGCUUUUUAUUGGUGUGAUAAUCAUCUAUGCCAUGGGCUGUGAAAGCGAGUUUGCCUUCCAAUUUUAACAUCCGUUAUUCAUGACUUUUUGAUCUCAAAUCAGGUAGGACUACCCGCUGAACUUAAGCAUAUCAAUAAGCGGAGGAAAAGAAACUAACAAGGAUUCCCCUAGUAACUGCGAGUGAAGCGGGAAGAGCUCAAAUUUAAAAUCUGGCAAUCCUKGUGGUUGUCCGAGUUGUAAUCUAGAGA